UACGUAGGUCCCGAGCGUUGUCCGGAUUUAUUGGGCGUAAAGCGAGCGCAGGUGGUUUAUUAAGUCUGGUGUAAAAGGCAGUGGCUCAACCAUUGUAUGCAUUAGAAACUGGUAGACUUGUGUGCAGGAGAGGAGAGUGGAAUUCCAUGUGUAGCGGUGAAAUGCGUAGAUAUAUGGAGGAACACCGGUGGCGAAAGCGGCUCUCUGGCCUGUAACUGACACUGAGGCUCGAAAGCGUGGGGAGCAAACAGG
rnacentral:rRNA from 1 species